rnacentral:rRNA from 1 species
UAAAACAACUUGAUUAUUAUUUCCCGAAAGUGUAAGAUCUAAGAGUAAUAUUUAACUAUAGACAUAUAUAACAAAGCUGUGGCAUUAGCUUUUAAUAAAUAUAUCUUAGUGGUGAAACACCUACAAUUAUACUGAUAACUGGACAGUUGUUAAAUAUAUUAAGUUUAAAGUCAACCUACAAAGUGAUAAGAAUUUGUAGUUAGAAAUUUUUAUACGAGGAUUUUGUACCAUCAACUAAUUUUUAAUGGUAGCUAGCAAAAUUAUAAUAAUAUUACACCUUUUAUUCUAAAGUAGCAACUCACUCAAUAUAAUAAUAUAUAAAUUUGAUAAUGUAUAAAUGAGUACAUAAUAUAAAAUUAAUUUAAUGAACUCGGCAAAUAUUAUAUACGACUGUUUAACAAAAACAUAGCCAGUAGGUAUUUAAUUAUUGGUGCAACCUGCCCGGUGACUUUUAACGGCCGCAGUACUAUGACUGUGCAAAGGUAGCAUAAUCAUUUGGCUUUUAAUUGAGGUCUAGUAUAAAAGGAUUAACGUAUAGACGCUGUAUCAAUUUUAAAUUUAUUUAAUUUAUUCAUAGGGUGAAAAUACCUUAAAAAAGAAAAGCAGACGAGAAGACCCUAAGAAUUUUAAGAAAUAUUACAAAUAAAUUUAUGUGUGGCGAUUUUUGUUGGGGCAACAUUUUUUCAUUAAACAAAAAAGUAGUACAAUAACAUAACGAAAUAGUUUAAUAAUGUAUAAAUUACCUUAGGGAUAACAGCAUAAUUUUAUAUAAAGAUUGUGACCUCGAUGUUGGACUAGGAACUAUUAAGGCUAGUCGUUUUAAUAAAAUAGGUUCUGUUCGAACUUUAUUUCCUA